AAUUACUUGGCCGAGUGGUUAAGGCGAAAGAUUAGAAAUCUUUUGGGCUUUGCCCGCGCAGGUUCGAGUCCUGCAGUUGUCG
rnacentral:tRNA from 1 species